AUACAAGGAUGGAACCUCCCUAACCUUCCUGGGCAACCUGUGCCUGCAUGUCUCCUUUUUCUUGCCUCUGGGGAAUCAAAAGGCCACAGCGAGGCAUCACCAGGGAUAUUGGGAGAGAUUGCUUUGGAAAAGUGUUUUUCCAUUGGGUUAUGUUACCUCAGGAAGGACUCUUCUACCAAGUUAACCUGCUGAGGAAAAGCAGUGAACUUGUUGCAAAAUGCUGAGGUAUGUACAGGAACCCACUUGGGAAGUUUGCUCUUGGAGAUGAGUCUAUGCCUGGUCAGGCUCUGAGUAACAUGAACAGAUUCCUCAGGAUGAGGAAUGCUGUAUAAAUGCCAGGUAUUAAUGCAG
rnacentral:lncRNA from 1 species